rnacentral:piRNA from 1 species
UGCCAGAUCUUGAUGCAUGCACUUGUUC